ensembl:lncRNA uncharacterized LOC107573867
UUUUCUUCUGUUUUACGCAUUACAUAUAAGUGUUUUACAUAUUAUUAAUAUAUUACAUAUUAACACAGUGUUUGCAGAAAUCACACACUCUGUCACUGCUUUUAUGAUGUGUGUGAUUUAGGCCACUGUAUUGAUCUGACCAAAAAACUGAAACAGGAUAAUAAGUUACAAAAGUCAGAAAAAAAGUGCAAAAGCUUUCUCUGGGACCAUUUCAAAAGAACCAUUGUGCCUUAUUUACCCCUAAAGGGUGACUGUAAAAAAGAUAUAUGGGGUUAUACUCUAACAUGAAGAAAGAUGGUGUAUUUACUUGUGUUUUCUCAGUCGCAGCAGCAAUGGCAUCAUCCAGUCUUCCCCGCAGACGCAACAGCAUGGAUAUACCUCCUGCAAUAGCUGAUGUUUUUCGACUCAGAGAUGAAUUUAUGAAACUCUAUGAGAGAGAUCAACCCCAACUCCAGCAGUGCAUAGAGAAACUACGAAAGAUCAUCAAAACCUUUGAAACAGAUUUCAGAGGUUCUACUGAAGGAUCUAGAGCUGCAGGAGUGGCGGGGAUCAUUGGAGGGGCUUCUCUGCUAACAGGAUUAGGGUUAGGAGCAGGAAUAGCUUUAGCUCCAUUUACUCUGGGAGCUUCUGCUGUUAUUGCUGGUGCUGGUGCUGCAGGAGUAGGAGCAGUGACUCUCACAGACGCUGGAAUUAAAAGUGCGAUCUGCAGCUCUAAGAAAAAGGAGCAGGUGCAAGCAUUAAGAAAAGGCAUUGAAUCUGAACUGAAGAAAUUUCAGGAUAAAAUCAAACCUAUGGCUGAAAAGAUGAAAGACAUUAAUGAGUGCACUGAGAAAAUAGUGAGAGACUUUCAAAAACUAGAGCAGGGUGCAGAUGAUUUGAGUAAAUAUUUUGACCGCCAUAACAUACGGCUAGAAGACCUUGCUGGACUGACAGUGCAGAUUAAACAAAAUAUGCGUUUGCUUGCAGCUAUAGCACAGAUUUUUGGUGGGUUCAGCCUUGUGCUUGACAUGAUCUCAGUUGGUGAAAAUAGCAGAGCAGUCGCCGACAUGAACAAACUAGCAGAAAAACCCAUAGCUGAAGAAGUAGAUGAAAGUAAGAUCAGGUCAAAAGCUGGGAAAUUCAUUGUUGAAAUCAGGAAAUUAAUGAAUCAGUUACAGGAUAUCGUUGAUGGACUUAAGACAACAAAACACAAACUAUCAGAAUUGUAGGAUAAAACCUGACCAAACCAUGAAGAACUGAGACACGUGGUUAGUUGCCCCUGACAGAGAGCAGAUGGACUCCCUCAACAUCUCCUGAACAAUCCCGCUGGUCUACAGUAUAGCAUGCUAACAGCAGAAGUUAACGUAACCGUAUAUAAUUAAGCAGGAUUUUUGCUGAAGUUAACUGAUAUUUGUGACAUACAGAGAUCCAGAUGUACAUUUUCAUUGCUUUGCUCUCCAGAAUUAAAUGAAUUAUUAGUUAUUUUUUUAAUACAUGUAUAAUAUUUUUACAAAAUCUAUAUAUUUCAAAUAUAACAUCUUUUAAAAUGCACAAACACAAAUGCAUUCAAUUACACCAUAUUAAGUAAAAAAGGGCUUUUUAAUAUUUUGUACAGUUUUGUUGCCAGGCUAGAAUCUUUGUAAAACGACUAAAGAAGGUAAGCUACAUUAAAUGCAAGCAUAUUAAUGCGUUUCUAUUAUAUGAGUUAGACAGUGACCACAGUGUAUAGAACUGCAUGUCAUGUGACGGAUAACAUAUGUUUGACUUUUACAUAAUAACCAGUAUAAUUGUGUUUGAAUUGUUAAUGUGUUGCUUUUAAUACACUGUGUACAGUAGGACAAGAUGUAAAAAAAAAAACAUGUCCCUGUAAAAUUGUAAAUACAACCAUCAACCAUUAAAACAUAUUUCUACAAGGUUUGAUACUUUUAAUAAACCAUG